CCAAUAGCGUAUAUUAAAGUUGUUGCAGUUAAAAAGCUCGUAGUUGAAUUUCGGGGUUCUACCGUCGGUCGGGCUACCAAGUCUGUACUGGUGUGUAGAAUUUCUACCUUCUGGAGAACCAUCAUGUUAUUAAUUUAGCGUGGUGGGAAACCAGGACCUUUACCUUGAAAAAAUUAGAGUGUUCAAAGCAGGCUUACGUCUGAAUACAUUAGCAUGGAAUAAUAAAAUAGGACGGUGGUCCUGUUUUGUUGGUUUCUGAAUCACCGUAAUGAUUAAUAGGGAUAGUUGGGGGCAUUAGUAUUCAAUUGUCAGAGGUGAAAUUCUUGGAUUUAUUGAAGACUAACUUCUGCGAAAGCAUUUGCCAAGGAUGUUUUCAUUAAUCAAGAACGAAAGUUAGGGGAUCGAAGACGAUCAGAUACUGUCGUAGUCUUAACCAUAAACUAUGCCGACUAGGGAUCGGACGAUGUUAAAUUUUAUUGACUCGUUCGGCGCCUUACG
rnacentral:rRNA from 1 species